AGAUAUUCAGAUUUUGUUGUUGUUAUUACAGGGUAUGUUUAUUUAGAUAAUUUUUAAGUACUUUGCUUUUGAAUUUAUGUAGAUAUGGUUUUAAUGUAUCAAGAUCCUACCCGGCAGACCCUGUAAUAAUUUUUGAAAUUCCAGUAGUCUGAGAGUCAAAGCACAAACAAUUAGUUAACUCUUCUCUUGUACACUGUAAAUCAAACGAAGCCCCUUGCAAUGACCACAGAUCAGGGGCCUCCACCCUUAGCAAAUCACUUGCCUAAUCUUAGGCCGGAGACCUAAUGCAUAGGCCUAUUGUAAUUUCUUUAUCUUUUAUGAGUGAGGGCAUCUCUUCUACUUGAGCAAGAUCAUGGUACCUGGAUUGCUGGGUUCUUUUGUUCCUUUAUUGUGUUGUUUCUUUGUCUCUUAGUGUGGUUGUGGUUCCCUUUGGCUCACUUUUGGUCCAUCAGGGUAAUGUGCAGUACAGAAGAGAUACAAACACUCUUCAGAAAGAUACCUGCACACUGGAACGCAAAGCAAAUUGUUCGCUUUCUAAGUCUCCUUUUUCUUUUCUAAACUCACUAGUAAAUAACUGCAUCAGAAUACUUUUGCUUUAUAAAAAACUUAUAAAGACUUAGAAAUAGACUAAUAGUUUACAGAGCUAUUAUAUUAAAUAUGAUGUGAAUUUAUUUCACACCAGUUGUGAAGGUACCAAAAAAUGCAAUGAAAGUUAAUAUAUAUAAACCCUGCUAGAGCAAAAAAGCUUGAAGUAGGUAGGGGUAUGGAAGGCCAAUAGUAAAUGUAAAAAAGUAAGUUUUUGAAAGGAAACAAUGUUGUCAAAGGAAGUAAAAUACUACACUCCGUGUUUUUUUCUGCUUAAUUGUAUGGAUUAACAGAAGAAGUUUAAAUUGUAAAAAAUUGUUCUAAAUUUUUUUUUAAUAUACAACUGAUUCUUUGGUACUGCAAUGUUUCUUUGUGGCUAGAAAACGGCCAGACUGCUGACUUUGUGCCUUUAAAUGCGUUCUGCGUUGCCAGUAGCAACUUCCUUCCGGUGCUGGAGCAGAUCCACUAGCAGUGCCAGGCGUGCUCUCAGGACGCACCUUCUGCAUGGGUCCUGAGAGAGUCCAAGGCAGGCUGGGGCUGAGUCAAGGGGAAGACCUCUCAUAGGGCAAACAAAAGUAGUUGAAUAAAAGAGUUAAGGCGUAACUGAUAGCAUUUUAAUGGAUUGGUAUUUAAACCUUUUGAGGUUUCAGAAUGAAUACCUUGAAAAUUUUCAGCACUUUUCCUUGUUUACAAAAAUAUAUUUUUAACUUUAAAAACAUCUAUGACUAUUGCCUUAGAAAGUAUUAAGAGGCACAAUCUACAGCAUAUGAGAAGUUGAGUAUUGCACAUGCUGGACUGUAAAAGGUAAAGCUUUUAUUUCAGAAUAAAUGUAAUUGGCUUUCAUUUGAGUCUCACCUUACUCCAUUAGAAGUUACAUAAAAAGAGUAAAAAUAUAUCUUUAGAGUAGCUCUCUGCUACUAAGUUCUGACGUAGGUCAGGCCGGAUCUGCACUAUUCUGAAAUGGUGUUGUUAGAAGAUUGGGAAAUCACUAAAAUAAAAUCAAACCUGAAUAGAUUGGCAGAUGACCCAGUAUGCUGCAGACUCCUUGAUUAAUGGCAGAGUUCACACCAGUGGUUUCAUUUGGGGUCUGAAAACCUUUAUAUAAAUUCAGCUGGAAACAACCAGGUAUACAAAUCUGUCAGUCUUAUUUUAGUUUGUUUUUGGAGUCAGGGUUCUCACUAUGUGUUUCAGGCUGGCCUGGAACUUAAAUGCUCCUGUCUCUGCCUCCUGGGUGCUGGGAAAACAGGCAUGUGCCACCACACCCAGCUUUGCCCAUUUAAAAAAAAAAUAGGGUCAAUCUUUUUCAUUUUCUUACUCAACAGUUGUGAUGUACUGUGUUACAUUAAAUUAAUAUUCUUCAGGAAAUUACAGUUGUGGAACAUGGGCAGACAGUUACUUAAUGGCAUACCCUAACUCUGAAAGUUUAGCAGUGAUGCUUAAAAUGCUAGGAUUUUUAUAUGAAAAAAUAAGGAAGAAAUUUUAGAUAAUUUUGGCCAUAAUUAUGGACUCCAAAGAUAUGAACAAGAGGAUUAGAGUACAAGUAUCUAUAUCCCACGUCAGAACCUGCUCUUCCGAUACAACACAGUCCCAGAUUGUUUUGGGACAAUGGAACAUUUAUUCCUUAGCACACUGUAUUGGGAUUCUCCCUCACCCCAGCCGUUGUUGUUAUUUUUGUUUUAAGG
rnacentral:lncRNA from 1 species